GAUGAAGAACGUAGUGAAAUGCGAUACGUAAUGUGAAUUGCAGAAUUCAGAGAAUCAUCGAGUCUUUGAACGCACAAUGCGCCCCCUGGUAUUCCGGGGGGCAUGCCUGUCCGAGCGUCAUUGCUGCCCUCAAGCACGGCUUGUGUGUUGGGCCUCCGUCCUCCUCCCGGGGGACGGGCCCGAAAGGCAGCGGCGGCACCGCGUCCGGUCCUCGAGCGUAUGGGGCUUCGUCACCCGCUCUUGUAGGCCCGGCCGGCGCUUGCCGACACAUCAAUCUUUUUUCCAGGUUAACCUCGGAUCAGGUAGGGAUACCCGCUGAACUUAAGCAUAUCGAUAAGCGGAGGA
rnacentral:misc_RNA from 1 species